rnacentral:rRNA from 1 species
UACAGAGACUGCAAGCGUUAUUCGGAUUCACUGGGCGUAAAGGGUGCGCAGGCGGUUGUGUGUGUCAGGUGUGAAAGCCCGGGGCUUAACCCCGGAAUUACGCCUGAAACUACAUGACUAGAGCAUUGGAGAGGGUAGCGGAAUUCACGGUGUAGCAGUGAAAUGCGUAGAUAUCGUGAGGAACACCAGAGGCGAAGGCGGCUACCUGGACAAUUGCUGACGCUCAGGCACGAAAGCGUGGGGAGCAAAAGGG